CAGCCGCCGCGGUAAUGCGAAGGGUGCAAGCGUUACUCGGAAUUACUGGGCGUAAAGCGUGCGUAGGUGGUGGUUUAAGUCCGUUGUGAAAGCCCUGGGCUCAACCUGGGAAUUGCAGUGGAUACUGGGUCACUAGAGUGUGGUAGAGGAUAGUGGAAUUUCCGGUGUAGCAGUGAAAUGCGUAGAGAUCGGAAGGAACAUCUGUGGCGAAGGCGACUAUCUGGGCCAACACUGACACUGAGGCACGAAAGCGUGGGGAGCAAACAGGAUUAGAUACCCGCGUAGUCCCUGUCUCUUAUAC
rnacentral:rRNA from 1 species